AUAUUACUUCAGCUAAAGAUCUCUUAAGCAAAUGUCUUUACACAGUUGAUAUGGGCAACAAUGAUUACCUCAAUAACUAUUUAAAGCCUCAGUUUUACCUUUCGAGUCUUUUGUAUACACCAGAUCAGUUUGCAACAGUCCUUGUUCGACAAUUUUCUGAACAACUAAGGGUUUGUACUAUUAAUUUCUUAUUUUACCUUUCGAGUCGUUUGUAUACACCAGAUCAGUUUGCAACAGUCCUUGUUCGACAAUUUUCUGAACAACUAAGGGUUUGUACUAUUAAUUUCUUCCUUUUUAAUUUAUUUUCUAUUAAUCUUAUUUGCGGGUGGAGGUGGCAAAAUGGUUUAAAAAAUAAUUAUUCACUCAUAUUAUCCAUCAAAAAAUAGGUUAGAUAAUGAAACAUUUAAAAAUGGGUCGAAUAUGGAUAAAGAACGAUAUUAUCCACUUAGAAAAUGAUUAACCAAUGGAUAAUGUGUUUAACUUUCACAUUUGUAAAGCGUUAAAUUGGAGUUCCUCAAGUUUGAAACACUAGCAAUUUUAUUACAAGUGAUCAUAUUAAAAAAUCAUGGAUAAUAUGAAUAUCCAUAUUAUCCGCCGGAUAAAAAUCGUUUUUAUCCGUCUCAAAUACGGGUCGGAUCGAAUAAUUUGUCCGCUUUUUAAAUUAUUCGUUUUGACCCGCUCAUAUCCGACCCGACCCGCCCGUUAGCCACCCCUAUCAGCCCCAUCUAAAGUUUUGUUGAUUUGGGUUAAAUUAUGUAAUACCCCAGGCUUUAGACAAAGUCCCAUAUCGGUGAAACAUAAGAGAGAUAUUUGGUAUAUAAGUUAAUAAACCUUAGACCCUAGCGAUACGUUUUAAACCCAUGAGGGCCUAGGCCCAAAGUUAACAAUAUCACUAGCAGGGUGGGCUAUUAUUGAUAGUAUUAGAGUUCAACUGAAUUUAGGCAAAUUCCAGCAGUUAGGCAGGCAAACCUUAGUGCCAAGUCUAGGUAAAUCCCAUGCAUUGGGGGUAAAUCUCAGCACGGACGCUAGGUCCAUAAGAAUGUAACACCCCAGACUUUAAACAAAGUGUCACAUCAAUAAAACACAUGAGGGAUACUAGGUAUAUAAAUUAAUAAGUCAUAUACCCUAGUAACAUGUUUUAAACUCAUAAGGAUCUAGGCCCAUAACAGAUAAUAUCACUAGUGCAUAAUAUUGACAUAUAAGAAAACUAGCCAAAAAUGCUUUUUAUUUUAUUUUUUUGAUAAGUUAGAUAUAUCCAUAACAAAGAAAAAAAUCAUUAGUUGCAUUUGGUUAUUCAAUAAAUUUAUAAGAAAAUGGAUAAAUUAGUUCAAACUUGGUUCAAUUUGGAGGAUUGGAUUACGAACUAUUACUUAGCUCAUCUUGAUCAUCUUAUUUCAACUGAAAUAAUCUUUGAGCUGGUCAUUAUUAAUUCAGCCAAUUUUAACCGUUCAAAUUUAAUGGCCCGAUCCGCUUAUUCGACACCCUUUAUUUUCAAACAUUUUGUUGAAUAAAUUUGGUAUAUUUUAGACUUUGUACAGC
rnacentral:lncRNA from 1 species